AGUAACACGUGAGCAACCUGCCUUUAAGAGUGGGAUAACGGUCGGAAACGACCGCUAAUACCGCAUAAUAUACAUGAAUCGCAUGGUUUGUGUAUCAAAGAUUUAUCGCUUAAAGAUGGGCUCGCGUCUGAUUAGCUGGUUGGUGAGGUAACGGCUCACCAAGGCGACGAUCAGUAGCCGUACUGAGAGGUAGAACGGCCACAUUGGGACUGAGACACGGCCCAGACUCCUACGGGAGGCAGCAG
rnacentral:rRNA from 1 species